rnacentral:rRNA from 1 species
AUUGGACGCUGGCGGCAGGCCUAACACAUGCAAGUCGAGCGGAUGAAGGGAGCUUGCUCCUGGAUUCAGCGGCGGACGGGUGAGUAAUGCCUAGGAAUCUGCCUGGUAGUGGGGGAUAACGUCCGGAAACGGGCGCUAAUACCGCAUACGUCCUGAGGGAGAAAGUGGGGGAUCUUCGGACCUCACGCUAUCAGAUGAGCCUAGGUCGGAUUAGCUAGUUGGUGGGGUAAAGGCCUACCAAGGCGACGAUCCGUAACUGGUCUGAGAGGAUGAUCAGUCACACUGGAACUGAGACACGGUCCAGACUCCUACGGGAGGCAGCAGUGGGGAAUAUUGGGCAAUGGGCGAAAGCCUGAUCCAGCCAUGCCGCGUGUGUGAAGAAGGUCUUCGGAUUGUAAAGCACUUUAAGUUGGGAGGAAGGGCAGUAAGUUAAUACCUUGCUGUUUUGACGUUACCAACAGAAUAAGCACCGGCUAACUUCGUG